UGCCCCGCACCUGGCCGCCACCACGCCCGGCAGACUCACACCUGCACCGAGCUGGGAGAGAACCGGCUUUAUUGGCAUCGAACAUGUAGAUAUGUAACGCAACCGGACGCAGUUCUGUCAGUGCAAAACAGUGCAGAGACUGGCUUUUCUCUACCUCCCAUUUCGGUCCUGGCUUUGGAGGUCAGAGGUCAGAAGGGCUAGUACUUCACCCCCUCCCAUGUGCUGUCAGCUGGUCAGGGCUGUAAAUUCUACCCCCUACCCUGUCUGCCAGCUUGUGAGAGGGCUUUUAAGCGAGUGAUUCUUUUGUAUCUUUGUUCAUUCUUCCAGACCUUGUGCGGUGAUGUAUUGAACCGUUCUUUAAUGAAAUAAACUCUUAAAAGAC